rnacentral:rRNA from 1 species
GUGGGGAAUAUUGGACAAUGGGCGAAAGCCUGAUCCAGCCAUGCCGCGUGUGUGAAGAAGGUCUUCGGAUUGUAAAGCACUUUAAGUUGGGAGGAAGGGCAGUAAGUUAAUACCUUGCUGUUUUGACGUUACCGACAGAAUAAGCACCGGCUAACUUCGUGCCAGCAGCCGCGGUAAUACGAAGGGUGCAAGCGUUAAUCGAAAUUACUGGGCGUAAAGCGCGCGUAGGUGGUUCAGCAAGUUGGAGGUGAAAUCCCCGGGCUCAACCUGGGAACUGCCUCCAAAACUGCAUGACUAGAGUACGGUAGAGGGUAGUGGAAUUUCCUGUGUAGCGGUGAAAUGCGUAGAUAUAGGAAGGAACACCAGUGGCGAAGGCGACUACCUGGACUGAUACUGACACUGAGGUGCGAAAGCGUGGGGAGCAAACAGGAUUAGAAACCCCAGUAGUCC